rnacentral:rRNA from 1 species
CACGGGGGGAGCAAGCGUUGUUCGGAAUCACUGGGCGUAAAGGGCGUGUAGGCGGUCAGGUAAGUGGGAUGUGAAAUGCCUCGGCUCACCCGAGGCACUGCAUUCCAAACUGCUUGGCUUGAGUAUGGGAGAGGAUGAGGGAAUUCCUGGUGUAGCGGUGAAAUGCGUAGAUAUCAGGAGGAACACCGGUGGCGAAAGCGGCUCUCUGGAACGGUACUGACGCUGAGACGCGAAAGCGUGGGGAGCGAACAGG